UAGAGUGUCAGCUAAGUGGCGCACGGGUGAGUAAUGUAUAGCUAAUGUGCCCCAUAGAAAGGGAUAACAGUUGGAAACGACUGCUAAUACCUUAUACUCCUUCUAAACAUAAGUUUGGUUGGGAAAGAUUUUUCGCUAUGGGAUCGGGCUAUAUCGUAUCAGCUAGUUGGUGAGGUAAUGGCUCACCAAGGCUAUGACGCGUAGCUGGUCUGAGAGGAUGAUCAGCCACACUGGAACUGAGACACGGUCCAGACUCCUACGGGAGGCAGCAGUGAGGAAUAUUGCACAAUGGGGGAAACCCUGAUGCAGCAACGCCGCGUGGAGG
rnacentral:rRNA from 1 species